AACGAACGCUGGCGGCAUGCCUAACACAUGCAAGUCGAACGAGACCUUCGGGUCUAGUGGCGCACGGGUGCGUAACGCGUGGGAUCCUGCCCUUAGGUUCGGAAUAACUCCCCGAAAGGGGUGCUAAUACCGGAUAAUGUCUUCGGACCAAAGAUUUAUCGCCUUUGGAUGGGCCCGCGUUGGAUUAGCUAGUUGGUAGGGUAAAAGCCUACCAAGGCGACGAUCCAUAGCUGGUCUGAGAGGAUGAUCAGCCACACUGGGACUGAGACACGACCCAGACUCCUACGGGAGGCAGCAGUGGGGAAUAUUGGACAAUGGGCGAAAGCCUGAUCCAGCAAUGCCGCGUGAGUGAUGAAGGCCUUAGGGUUGUAAAGCUCUUUUACCCGGGAUGAUAAUGACAGUACCGGGAGAAUAAGCUCCGGCUAACUCCGUG
rnacentral:rRNA from 1 species